CCUACGGGAGGCAGCAGUAGGGAAUCUUCCGCAAUGGACGAAAGUCUGACGGAGCAACGCCGCGUGAACGAUGAAGGCCUUCGGGUCGUAAAGUUCUGUUGUUAGGGAAGAACAAGUGCUAGUUGAAUAAGCUGGCACCUUGACGGUACCUAACCAGAAAGCCACGGCUAACUACGUGCCAGCAGCCGCGGUAAUACGUAGGUGGCAAGCGUUGUCCGGAAUUAUUGGGCGUAAAGCGCGCGCAGGCGGUUUCUUAAGUCUGAUGUGAAAGCCCCCGGCUCAACCGGGGAGGGUCAUUGGAAACUGGGAAACUUGAGUGCAGAAGAGGAAAGUGGAAUUCCAAGUGUAGCGGUGAAAUGCGUAGAGAUUUGGAGGAACACCAGUGGCGAAGGCGACUUUCUGGUCUGUAACUGACGCUGAGGCGCGAAAGCGUGGGGAGCAAACAGGAUUAGAUACCCUGGUAGUCCACGCUGUAAACGAUGAGUGCUAAGUGUUAGAGGGUUUCCGCCCUUUAGUGCUGAAGUUAACGCAUUAAGCACUCCGCCUGGGGAUACGGUCGCAAGACUGAAACUCAAAGGAAUUGACGGCUGAGACGNGCGAGACGACGACGAGGAGAG
rnacentral:rRNA from 1 species